CGUAAAGAGCUUGUAGGCGGUUUGUCGCGUCUGCUGUGAAAGGCCGGAGCUUAACUCCGUGUAUUGCAGUGGGUACGGGCAGACUAGAGUGCAGUAGGGGAGACUGGAAUUCCUGGUGUAGCGGUGGAAUGCGCAGAUAUCAGGAGGAACACCGAUGGCGAAGGCAGGUCUCUGGGCUGUAACUGACGCUGAGAAGCGAAAGCAUGGGGAGCGAACAGGAUUAGAUACCCUGGUAGUCCAUGCCGUAAACGUUGGGCACUAGGUGUGGGGAACAUUCCACGUUUUCCGCGCCGUAGCUAACGCAUUAAGUGCCCCGCCUGGGGAGUACGGCCGCAAGGCUAAAACUCAAAGAAAUUGACGGGGGCCCGCACAAGCGGCGGAGCAUGCGGAUUAAUUCGAUGCAACGCGAAGAACCUUACCAAGGCUUGACAU
rnacentral:rRNA from 1 species